UAGGGUUAAAGUCCCGAUCUGCGAAGGGAGUAGUAGUGGUUAACCUUAGGAACACGAACUUCAUAGAAGGCUAGAGGUGCUUGGGUAAGACUGCAAAACAAGCCUUACUGCGAAAGGGUGCAUAGAGUAAAUGAAGUGGGGACAUGAAGAAGAAGAGUGU
rfam:Oceanobacillus oncorhynchi strain Oc5 genome assembly, contig: CONTIG000001